CAGUCGCCGCGGUAAUACGAAGGGGGCUAGCGUUGCUCGGAAUGACUGGGCGUAAAGGGCGCGUAGGCGGAUCACGCAGUCAGAUGUGAAAUUCCUGGGCUUAACCUGGGGGCUGCAUUUGAGACGCGUGGUCUAGAGUGUGAAAGAGGGUCGUGGAAUUCCCAGUGUAGAGGUGAAAUUCGUAGAUAUUGGGAAGAACACCGGUGGCGAAGGCGGCGACCUGGUUCAUGACUGACGCUGAGGCGCGAAAGCGUGGGGAGCAAACAGGAUUAGAUACCCCCGUAGUCCCUGUCUCUUAUAC
rnacentral:rRNA from 1 species